rnacentral:antisense_RNA from 1 species
UUCGUAAUUUUUCUUACAUCUCCACCGCCGGGAGCCCAAGUAUCAUAUACACCUCCAAAAUACAAAGCCUUGAGCACUGGAAGUCUUCCAUGAGAACAUGAUUCGGCUUAGACCUAUAAGAUGACCAUCAUACCA